rnacentral:rRNA from 1 species
UAUCUCUGUAGAGUCUGCAUAUCAAUAAGCGGAGGAAAAGAAACUAACAAGGAUUCCCUUAGUAACGGCGAGUGAAGCGGGAAGAGCUCAAAUUUGAAAUCUUCAAGGUUCUACCUUGACGAAUUGUAGUUUAAAGAAGUGUUUUCUGUUAGAUGAGUAGCAAAAGUUCCUUGGAAUGGGACAUCAUAGGGGGUGAGAAUCCCGUAUUUGGUUAUUCAUUCUAGCUUUGUGAUACACUUUCAAAGAGUCGGAUUGUUUGGGAAUGCAGUCCAAAAUGGGUGGUAAAUUUCAUCUAAAGCUAAAUAUUGGCGAGAGACCGAUAGCGAACAAGUACCGUGAGGGAAAGAUGAAAAGAACUUUGAAAAGAGAGUUAAACAGUACGUGAAAUUGUCAAAAGGGAAGCGUUUGACACCAGUGUUGUUUUUCCGAAAAUCAAUUACGAAUGGCUUGAUUCUGUGUUGUAUUGACCUUAUCAGCUUUCUUCACUUUUUUCGAGUCCUUCUUAAUGCACUUUUCGGUUAACAAGUCAACAUCAAUUUCUUUUGUUGUAAAAGAGUAUUCGGAAGGUGGCUUUCUUUUCGGAGAAAGUGUUUAUAGCCCUAUACUUCUACAAUCGGAGAGAUUGAGGUCUGCAGCGUAGAUCCUUCGGGGUUAGAUACACUUGUGCUAAGUUGUAGCUUUUCAUAGACAACUUGUUGACUAUGUUUAGUCAUGCGGCUUACUCGCUUAUGCUAUUUUACCUACGCUUAGGAUGUUGAAGAUGUAGCACAUCAU